rnacentral:rRNA from 1 species
GGGAGCCGCAGGGAAACCGAGUCUUAACUGGGCGUUAAGUUGCAGGGUAUAGACCCGAAACCCGGUGAUCUAGCCAUGGGCAGGUUGAAGGUUGGGUAACACUAACUGGAGGACCGAACCGACUAAUGUUGAAAAAUUAGCGGAUGACUUGUGGCUGGGGGUGAAAGGCCAAUCAAACCGGGAGAUAGCUGGUUCUCCCCGAAAGCUAUUUAGGUAGCGCCUCGUGAAUUCAUCUUCGGGGUAGAGCACUGUUUCGGCUAGGGGUCAUCCCGACUUACCAACCCGAUGCAAACUACGAAUACCGAAGAAUGUUAUCACGGGAGACACACGGCGGGUGCUAACGUCCGUCGUGAAGAGGGAAACAACCCAGACCGCCAGCUAAGGUCCCA